AGCGAACGCUGGCGGCAGGCUUAACACAUGCAAGUCGAGCGGGCCCUUCGGGGUCAGCGGCAGACGGGUGAGUAACACGUGGGAACGUACCCUUUGGUUCGGAAUAACGCUGGGAAACUAGCGCUAAUACCGGAUACGCCCUUUUGGGGAAAGGCUUGCUGCCGAAGGAUCGGCCCGCGUCUGAUUAGCUAGUUGGUGGGGUAAUGGCCUACCAAGGCGACGAUCAGUAGCUGGUCUGAGAGGCUGAUCAGCCACACUGGGACUGAGACACGGCCCAGACUCCUACGGGAGGCAGCAGUGGGGAAUAUUGGACAAUGGGCGCAAGCCUGAUCCAGCCAUGCCGCGUGAGUGAUGAAGGCCUUAGGGUUGUAAAGCUCUUUUGUCCGGGACGAUAAUGACGGUACCGGAAGAAUAAGCCCCGGCUAACUUCGUG
rnacentral:rRNA from 1 species